rnacentral:rRNA from 1 species
UACGGAGGGGGCUAGCGUUGUUCGGAAUUACUGGGCGUAAAGCGCACGUAGGCGGCUUUGUAAGUUAGAGGUGAAAGCCCGGGGCUCAACUCCGGAAUUGCCUUUAAGACUGCAUCGCUAGAAUUGUGGAGAGGUAAGUGGAAUUCCGAGUGUAGAGGUGAAAUUCGUAGAUAUUGGGAAGAACACCGAUGGCGAAGGCAGCCAUCUGGACCGACACUGACGCUGAGGCGCGAAAGCGUGGGGAGCAAACAGG